rnacentral:rRNA from 1 species
UCUCGGCAACGGAUAUCUCGGCUCUCGCAUCAUCGAUGAAGCAGCGAAAUGCGAUACCUGGUGUGAAUUGCAGAAUCCCGCGAACCAUCGAGUCUUUGAACGCAAGUUGCGCCCGAGGCCAUUCGGCUGAGGGCACGCCUGCCUGGGCGUCACGCAAAACACGCUC